CGGAGCCGGGGUCGCAGCCAUGGUCCAAGCGUCUCUGCCCGUGAGCCCUAGCAGUGCCUUCCCCGCGCUGCUCUGGGCACCGAGAAACUGCUAGGGCAAGGGGGACGGACUUGGAAGCGCGCACCACCUUCCCCAGCUCCCGUUGCAAGUUCAAUCUUCGACCUCCGAGACGCCCGGUGAUUUCUGCUGGCACCUGCUGCCCUCGGCAUCACCUCCCUCAUCCCCCUGGAGGGCACGCUGGAAAGCUGCGACUCCCCACCCUCAGCACAGGAGCGCCCCGAAGACGCGCAGAUGGGCCCAGCCACCCAGCGGGACGGCAGCCGUGAACACACAAGUUUGGAGAGCGCGCGAGGCACCUGAAAGUGGUUGGGGUUUGGAAGCAAAAGGGUGACACCUGCUGUUCGCUGGGACCGCUCUGCGGGCGUGGGCGUCGGUUUGGAAACGGCCUUUGCCUGAGCUCUGCUUGGCUGUGUGCUCCAUUCUCAUUACUCUUCCUCAGUGGGUCUCAAUCCCGGCUGCACAUUGGAAUCACUUGGAAAGCUUUAAAAAUAAAACCAAACCUGUGCUUGGGCCCCACCAUAGCUGUUCACCACAGCUGUCAGUAUAAAUCAAUGCACCUUGGUUCCAUUCUUCAUCAUUUGCUGGUAGCUAAAUUCUGAAAGCAGGCAGUCAGAAGUCAGCCGAUAGAACACCUUCCAUCCUCUGAGCAUGACCAGCAAAGCGGUUUCUUCUUGCAGACACUGCAUCAGCCCAGCUCAAAGUGCGUUCCAUUCUGAUGAACAUCCAC